rnacentral:rRNA from 1 species
UAAUACGAAGGAUUCGAGCGUUAUCCGGAUUUAUUGGGUUUAAAGGGUGCGUAGGCGGACUUGUAAGUCAGUGGUGAAAGCCCGCAGCUUAACUGCGGAAUUGCCGUUGAUACUGCAAGUCUUGAGUACACUUGAGGUGGGCGGAAUGUAUCAUGUAGCGGUGAAAUGCUUAGAUAUGAUACAGAACACCGAUUGCGAAGGCAGCUCACUAAAUUGUAACUGACGCUGAGGCACGAAAGCGUGGGUAUCAAACAGGAUUAGAUACCCUGGUAGUCCACGCCCUAAACGAUGAUUACUCGAUGUGUGCAAUACACCGUACGCGUCUGAGCGAAAGCAUUAAGUAAUCCACCUGGGGAGUACGGUCGCAAGACUG